rnacentral:rRNA from 1 species
CGAGAACCAGGCCUUCGGGCCUGGGGAAAGCGGCGAACGGGUGAGUAACACGUGGGUAAUCUGCCCUCGGCAUCGGGAUAGCCCGGGGAAACCCGGAUUAAUACCGGAUAGCUUCCGAAGCCUUCGGGUGUCGGAGAAAAGGUGGCUUCGGCUUCCGGCUGAGGAUGAGCCCGCGGCGGAUUAGCUUGUUGGUGGGGUAACGGCCCACCAAGGCGACGAUCCGUAGCUGGUCUGAGAGGAUGAUCAGCCUCACUGGGACUGGGACACGGCCCAGACUCCUACGGGAGGCAGCAGUAGGGAAUAUUGGACAAUGGGCGCAAGCCUGAUCCAGCCAUGCCGCGUGAGUGAUGAAGGCCUUAGGGUUGUAAAGCUCUUUCGGCGGGGAAGAUAAUGAUGGUACCCGCAGAAGAAGCCCCGGCUAACUUCGUGCCAGCCGCCGCCGUAAUAC